CACGUAGGGUGCGAGCGUUGUCCGGAAUUAUUGGGCGUAAAGCGCGUGUAGGCGGCCACACAGGUCCGCUGUGAAAACUCGAGGCUCAACCUCGAGCUGUCGGUGGAAACCGUGUGGCUAGAGUCCGGAAGAGGAGACUGGAAUUCCCGGUGUAGCGGUGGAAUGCGCAGAUAUCAGGAGGAACACCAAUGGCGAAGGCAGCACUCUGGGACGUGACUGACGCUGAGACGCGAAAGCGUGGGGAGCAAACAGG
rnacentral:rRNA from 1 species